UGGACUCAGGGCUCUUGUGCUCACCGACUCCCCUACACCCCCGCAGCUUUCUGAGAAUCCACCAAAUCACAUCUUGUUCCUCACCAACCUGCCAGAGGAGACCAACGAGCUCAUGCUGUCCAUGCUUUUCAAUCAGUUCCCUGGCUUCAAGGAGGUCCGUCUGGUACCCGGGCGGCAUGACAUCGCCUUCGUGGAGUUUGACAAUGAGGUACAGGCAGGGGCAGCUCGCGAUGCCCUGCAGGGCUUUAAGAUCACGCAGAACAACGCCAUGAAGAUCUCCUUUGCCAAGAAGUAGCACCUUUUCCCCCCAUGCCUGCCCCUUCCCCCGUUCUGGGG
rnacentral:sRNA from 1 species